rnacentral:rRNA from 1 species
UACGUAGGGGGCUGGCGUUGUCCGGAAUCAUUGGGCGUAAAGCGCGUGUAGGCGGUCCGGUAAGUCCGCUGUGAAAGUCGGGGGCUCAACCCUCGGAUGCCGGUGGAUACUGUCGGGCUUGAGUACGGAAGAGGCGAGUGGAAUUCCUGGUGUAGCGGUGAAAUGCGCAGAUAUCAGGAGGAACACCAAUUGCGAAGGCAGCUCGCUGGGACGUUACUGACGCUGAGACGCGAAAGCGUGGGGAGCAAACAGG